rnacentral:rRNA from 1 species
AGGGGGUAUUGCACCUACCGAAGACUAUCAAACUCCGAAUGCCGUCAUCUUAUACUUGGGAGUCAGACUGUGGGUGAUAAGAUUCAUAGUCGAAAGGGCAACAGCCCAGAUCGUCAGCUAAGGUCCCUAAAUGUAAGUUAAGUGGUAAAGGAUGUGGGAUUGCACAGACAACCAGGAUGUUGGCUUAGAAGCAGCCACUCAUUCAAAGAGUGCGUAAUAGCUCACUGGUCGAGUGAUCCUGCGCCGAAGAUUUCCGGGGCUAAAACUUACUACCGAAGCUACGGCAUCAGUAAUGAUGGGUAGGGGAGCUUCCCAUACGGGUUGAAGCAUGACCGUAAGGACAUGUGGACAGUAUGGGAGUGAGAAUGUUGGCAUGAGUAGCGAGAUGUGGGUGAGAAUCCCACAGGCCGUAAACCCAAGGUUUCCAGGGGAAGGUUCGUCCGCCCUGGGUUAGUCGGGACCUAAGCUGAGGCCGAAAGGCGUAGGUGAUGGACAACAGGUUGAUAUUCCUGUACUACCGAUAACCGUUUGAGAGAAGGGAUGACACAGUAGGAUAAGCUAAGCACACUGUUGGUUAUGUGUGCCCAAGCAUUGAGGCAGUCAAAGUAGGCAAAUCCGCUUUGAUAAUGCUGGGAUGUGAUGGGGAGCGAAAUUUAGUAGCGAAGUAGCUGAUUUCACACUGUCAAGAAAAGUCUCUAUCGAGGUUAAAGGUACCCGUACCGCAAACCGACACAGGUGGGUGAGGAGAGUAUCCUAAGGCCAGCGAGAGAACUGUUGUUAAGGAACUCGGCAAAAUGACCCCGUAACUUAGGGAUAAGGGGUGCCACCAUCAGGUGGCCGCAGAGAAUAGGCCCAAGCGACUGUUUACCAAAAACAUAGGUUUCUGCUAAGUCGCAAGACGAUGUAUAGGAGCUGACGCCUGCCCGGUGCUGGAAGGUUAAGGGGAUCUGUUAGAGCAAUCGAAGCAGUGAACUUAAGCCCCAGUAAACGGCGGCCGUAACUAUAACGGUCCUAAGGUAGCGAAAUUCCUUGUCGGGUAAGUUCCGACCCGCACGAAAGGCGUAACGAUUUGGGCACUGUCUCAACAACAGACUCGGUGAAAUUGUAAUUCCGGUGAAGAUGCCGGAUACCUGCGACAGGACGGAAAGACCCCAUGGAGCUUUACUGUAGCUUGACAUUGGGUCUUGGUACUACAUGUACAGGAUAGGUGGGAGGCUUUGAAACCAGGACGCCAGUUUUGGCGGAGCCAUCCUUGGGAUACCACCCUUGUAGUACUGGGACUCUAACCAUAGGCCAUGAAUCUGGUCUUGGGACACUGUCAGGUGGGCAGUUUGACUGGGGCGGUCGCCUCCCAAAAGGUAACGGAGGCGCUCAAAGGUUCUCUCAGUACGGUCGGAAAUCGUACGUAGAGUGUAAAGGCAAAAGAGAGCUUGAUUGCAAGACAUACAGGUCGAGCAAGGAUGAAAAUCGGACUUAGUGAUCCGGUGGUUCUGCGUGGAAGGGCCAUCGCUCAACGGAUAAAAGCUACCCUGGGGAUAACAGGCUUAUCUCCCCCAAGAGUCCACAUCGACGGGGAGGUUUGGCACCUCGAUGUCGGCUCAUCACAUCCUGGGGCUGUAGUAGGUCCCAAGGGUUGGGCUGUUCGCCCAUUAAAGUGGUACGCGAGCUGGGUUCAGAACGUCGUGAGACAGUUCGGUCCCUAUCCGUCGCAGGCGUAGGAAAUUUGAGAAGACCUGUCCUUAGUACGAGAGGACCGGGAUGGACGUACCUCUGGUGUACCAGUUGUCCUGCCAAGGGCAUGGCUGGGUAGCUAUGUACGGAAUGGAUAAGCGCUGAAAGCAUCUAAGCGCGAAGCCAACUUCAAGAUAAGAUUUCCCACCGCAAGGGUAAGACCCCAGAAAGACUAUCUGGUUGAUAGGUCGAAGGUGUAAGUGCAGCAAUGUAUUUAGCUUAUCGAUACUAAUAGGUCGAGGACUUGACCAA